rnacentral:rRNA from 1 species
ACAUGCAAGUCGAACGCUUCACAUCGGUGAAGAGUGGCGAACGGGUGAGUAAUACAUAAGUAACCUGGCAUCUACAGGGGGAUAACUGAUGGAAACGUCAGCUAAGACCGCAUAGGUGUAGAGAUCGCAUGAACUCUAUAUGAAAAGUGCUACGGGACUGGUAGAUGAUGGACUUAUGGCGCAUUAGCUUGUUGGUAGGGUAACGGCCUACCAAGGCGACGAUGCGUAGCCGACCUGAGAGGGUGACCGGCCACACUGGGACUGAGACACGGCCCAGACUCCUACGGGAGGCAGCAGUAGGGAAUUUUCGGCAAUGGGGGAAACCCUGACCGAGCAACGCCGCGUGAAGGAAGAAGUAAUUCGUUAUGUAAACUUCUGUCAUAGAGGAAGAACGGUGGAUAUAGGGAAUGAUAUCCAAGUGACGGUACUCUAUAAGAAAGCCACGGCUAACUACGUGCCAGCAGCCGCGGUAAUACGUAGGUGGCGAGCGUUAUCCGGAAUUAUUGGGCGUAAAGAGGGAGCAGGCGGCACUAAGGGUCUGUGGUGAAAGAUCGAAGCUUAACUUCGGUAAGCCAUGGAAACCGUAGAGCUAGAGUGUGUGAGAGGAUCGUGGAAUUCCAUGUGUAGCGGUGAAAUGCGUAGAUAUAUGGAGGAACACCAGUGGCGAAGGCGACGAUCUGGCGCAUAACUGACGCUCAGUCCCGAAAGCGUGGGGAGCAAAUAGGAUUAGAUACCCUAGUAGUCCACGCCGUAAACGAUGAGUACUAAGUGUUGGGUGUCAAAGCUCAGUGCUGCAGUUAACGCAAUAAGUACUCCGCCUGAGUAGUACGUUCGCAAGAAUGAAACUCAAAGGAAUUGACGGG